UGAACUUGAACAUGUCCUUUGGGAGAGAUAUGGAGCUGGAGCAUUUUGAUGAGCGUGAUAAAGCACAGCGAUAUGGCAGGGGGUCCCGGGUAAAUGGUUUGCCCAGCCCUACUCACAGUGCCCACUGCAGCUUUUACCGAACCCGCACUCUACAGACCCUGAGUUCUGAGAAAAAAGCCAAGAAAGUUCGUUUCUACCGUAAUGGAGACCGGUAUUUCAAAGGGAUUGUAUAUGCCAUCUCCCCUGACCGAUUUAGGUCCUUUGAAGCUCUCCUGGCUGAUCUGACCCGAACUCUGUCUGACAAUGUGAAUCUGCCCCAGGGAGUGAGAACAAUCUACACGAUUGAUGGCUCCAAGAAGAUUUCCUCCUUGGAUCAGCUAGUAGAAGGUCAGCAGUAA